GGAAGGAUCAUUAACACGUAUCCAAAACGUAAACCAACGAGAACUGUUGUCUGCUCCCAACAUUUGUACCGCAUGAGUUGACCUCCCCCCUUUAUUAAGACGUGUGUGUGGUUUGACCGCUCGUUAUUUCGUCUUAGUACCCGGACUGUCGGUUCGCUUUUUGGCGGAUCGGCGCAGCUGUAGCGGUGCACAUGGCACAUUCUAUUCGAUUUUUGCGCGCUCUGCCCACACGCACCAGAGACGUCGAGUAGGAUCCCUCAUUCUCUCUCUCUCUCUCUCUCUCUCACACGGGGGGAGAGGGAGAGAGAGAGUGAGGCUUCCAACACAAAACCUAAGUAUAAAAACUUAUUUCACCGCACUUUUUGCUAGUUGACAUUUAAUUGUGAGUCGCGGCGCGGCCGGUCUUGUAGUCACAUCUGCUGAUUCGACUUUCCGCUCUCGCUCUCGCACGUUUGAAUCUAAUUGAACGUUAAAUUUUACAACUCUUAGCAAUGGAUAUCUUGGUUCUCGCAACGAUGAAGAACGCAGCGAAAUGCGAUACGUAAUGCGAAUUGCAGAAUUCAGUGAAUCAUCAAAUCUUUGAACGCAAAUUGCGCUCUUGGGUAACCCUAGGAGCACGCCUCUCUCAGUAUCGGUUCAAUCACACCUCAGCAGCGUACUCAUUUAACCGUGAGUGGCGCGUUGGCUGGAUCAUGAGAGUCUGUGCAUCGGUUUCACGACACAGUCUCUUGAAAUAUAUCGAGUGAGCGAUAUCAUCACAGUUUCGUAUACUUUAUUCGUACACACACACUUCGGUGCUGUGUGCGGAGGGCCGGUCUCUGACUGGUUGCGCUAUGCGAGAGGUGACGUGAAUAGCCGAAAGGAUUUUCUACGUGUAACCCCUCGUGUGUGCAACUACUUAUAAAGGUCUAGGAUUUCCGCGCUCGUAAUGGAGACACAGGUGGCGCCUCAUGUUAACGCGACUUUAAACCGGUUGCAAUCUGAUCGACGAACGAUUUGUAAUCGUUCGGUUCAAUCUGAAUUUUGAUCUGAGAUGAAGCGAGACAACCCCCUGAAUUUAAGCAUAUUAAUAAGGGGAGGAAAAGAAACUAACAAGGAUUCCCCCAGUAACGGCGAGUGAAGCGGGAAGAGCUCAAUUUGAAAAUCGACUACCUAAGCGGGUCGUCGAGUUGUAGCCUAUAGACGUACUAUCAGCUGAGACCUGGGUAUAAGUUCUUUGGAAUGAGGCAUCAUAGAGGGUGAGAAUCCCGUAUAUGACCCAAAGCUUUCAGCGUACGAUGUAUGUUCAUCGAGUCGAGUUGUUUGGGAUUGCAGCUCUAAAUGGGUGGUAAGUUUCAUCUAAAGCUAAAUAAUGGCGAGAGACCGAUAGCGAACAAGUACCGUGAGGGAAAGAUGAAAAGAACUUUGAAAAGAGAGUUAAAAGUACUUGAAAUUGCUAAGAGGGAAGCGCUGACAACCAGUGUGUUCGCGCCGUUCAUCGUCGUCGGCCCCUGAUCAGUGUCGUAUCGUAGUGGGCAACCCUAUCGGUGCGGCAUCUCGUGAGGGCGGUCGGCGAUUCAGAACGGCGUGUCAGUCAAGAUCCAUUCGAUUUAUUUCUGUGGGAGAAGGUGGCGAGAAAGGUAGGAGACCUUCGGGUCUCUGUUAUAGUCUUGCCACUCUACCUCGGUUCGGAUGGAGGAAGUAAUAGUGCGCUGCUUGCGGCUUAGUCUCGCAUAUCUACGGUGCCAGCGGCCUUAAUAGCAAUGCUAUUCUGGUUGUGUCGUGCGUCGGUUACUAUGUGCGAUGUACUCUUUGUGCUAUCACGAUCUUGUACGAAAUGGUUGUCAUCGACCCGUCUUGAAACACGGACCAAGGAGUCUAACAUCUAUGCGAGUAUUUGAGUGACAAACUCUGAUGCGCAAUGAAAGUAAAGGCAGCCUCGUCGCUGCUGAGGUAGGAAUCCGCGCGUCAAAACCGUGGAGGCACUAUCGACCGAUCAUCACUUGUGAAAGAUUUGAGUAAGAGCAUAUCUGUUGGGACCCGAAAGAUGGUGAUCUAUGCCUGAACAGGGUGAAGCCUCAGGAAACUGGGGUGGAGGCUCGUAGCGAUACUGACGUGCAAAUCGUUCGUCUGAUUUGGGUAUAGGGGCGAAAGACUAAUCGAACCAUCUAGUAGCUGGUUCCCUC
rnacentral:misc_RNA from 1 species